rnacentral:misc_RNA from 1 species
AGAUCUUUUGAGAUAUACCAAAUGUAUACCAUGAGUUUCAUCCAUCAUAUGCAAAAGGUGCAUCACAACCUUCCAAAAGGAAACCAGAUAGUAAUCACCAAUGCACAAAUGAUAUGCAAAGCCAGAGAUUUUGGAAUUAGUGCAAUGAUGCUUACCAAACUAAACUCAAAGUGGAAAUGAUGAGAUCAUACAUAGGUAUUCACCUGCAUAGUAGAAAGAUUAGCAGA